rnacentral:rRNA from 1 species
GGUUAAGUUAGAAAGGGCGCACGGUGGAUGCCUUGGCACUAGGAGCCGAAGAAGGACGGGACUAACACCGAUAUGCUUUGGGGAGCUGUACGUAAGCGUUGAUCCAGAGAUUUCCGAAUGGGGGAACCCACUAUCUUUAGUCGGAUAGUAUCCUUACGUGAAUACAUAGCGUGAGGAAGGCAGACCCAGGGAACUGAAACAUCUAAGUACCUGGAGGAAGAGAAAGAAAAAUCGAUUUCCUGAGUAGCGGCGAGCGAAACGGAAAGAGCCCAAACCAAGAAGCUUGCUUCUUGGGGUUGUAGGACACUCUAUACGGAGUUACAAAAGAAAGUUAUAAAUGAAGCGGUCUGGAAAGGCCCGCCAAAGACGGUAACAGCCCGGUAGUUGAAAUGGCUUUCCCUCCAGAGUGGAUCCUGAGUACGGCGGAACACGUGAAAUUCCGUCGGAAUCCGGGAGGACCAUCUCCCAAGGCUAAAUACUCCCUAGUGACCGAUAGUGAACCAGUACCGUGAGGGAAAGGUGAAAAGCACCCCGGAAGGGGAGUGAAACAGUUCCUGAAACCGUGUGCCUACAAGUAGUUAGAGCCCGUUAAUGGGUGAUAGCGUGCCUUUUGUAGAAUGAACCGGCGAGUUACGAUUUGUUGCAAGGUUAAGCGGAAAAAGCGGAGCCGUAGCGAAAGCGAGUCUGAAUAGGGCGCAUAAGUAACAGGUCGUAGACCCGAAACCAGGUGAUCUACCCAUGUCCAGGAUGAAGGUAAGGUAAUACUUACUGGAGGUCCGAACCCACGCACGUUGAAAAGUGCGGGGAUGAGGUGUGGGUAGCGGAGAAAUUCCAAUCGAACUUGGAGAUAGCUGGUUCUCUCCGAAAUAGCUUUAGGGCUAGCCUCGAGGUAAAGAGUCAUGGAGGUAGAGCACUGUUUGGACUAGGGGCCCUUCUCGGGUUACCGAAUUCAGAUAAACUCCGAAUGCCAUGUACUUAUACUCGGGAGUCAGACUGCGAGUGAUAAGAUCCGUAGUCGAAAGGGAAACAGCCCAGACCACCAGUUAAGGUCCCCAAAUAUAUGUUAAGUGGAAAAGGAUGUGGGGUUGCUUAGACAACCAGGAUGUUGGCUUAGAAGCAGCCACCAUUGAAAGAGUGCGUAAUAGCUCACUGGUCGAGUGACCCCGCGCCGAAAAUGUACCGGGGCUAAACAUAUUACCGAAACUGUGGAUGAACCUCUUUAGAGGUUCGUGGUAGGAGAGCGUUCUAAGGGCGGUGAAGUCAGACCGGAAGGACUGGUGGAGCGCUUAGAAGUGAGAAUGCCGGUAUGAGUAGCGAAAGAAGGGUGAGAAUCCCUUCCACC